UUGGCUGAAACCAAAAAGAGGUGAAUCACUGUUAAUGAUUAAAUUGAUAAUAUCCAGUCGUU
rnacentral:tRNA from 1 species